rnacentral:rRNA from 1 species
AGCGAACGCUGGCGGCAGGCCUAACACAUGCAAGUCGAACGAACCUUUCGGGGUUAGUGGCGGACGGGUGAGUAACACGUGGGAACGUGCCUUUAGGUUCGGAAUAACUCAGGGAAACUUGUGCUAAUACCGAAUGUGCCCUUCGGGGGAAAGAUUUAUCGCCUUUAGAGCGGCCCGCGUCUGAUUAGCUAGUUGGUUGAGGUAAAGGCUCACCAAGGCGACGAUCAGUAGCUGGUCUGAGAGGAUGAUCAGCCACAUUGGGACUGAGACACGGCCCAAACUCCUACGGGAGGCAGCAGUGGGGAAUCUUGCGCAAUGGGCGAAAGCCUGACGCAGCCAUGCCGCGUGAAUGAUGAAGGUCUUAGGAUUGUAAAAUUCUUUCACCGGGGACGAUAAUGACGGUACCCGGAGAAGAAGCCCCGGCUAACUUCGUG